GGCUCAGGGAAACGCUGGCGGCACGCUUAUACAUGCAAGUAGAGCGAUCGGAUGCGGAGUGCUUGCACUCUGCAUUACGGAGCGGCGCACGGGUGAGUAACACGUGGGUAACCUGCCUCGAGGACGGGGACAACGCCGGGAAACUGGCGCUAAUACCCGAUGAUCUCGUUGGAUCGCAUGGUCCGACGAGCAAAUGGUUCUUCCGCCUCGAGAGGGACCCGCGGCCUAUCAGCUUGUUGGUGGGGUAACGGCCUACCAAGGCUCUGACGGGUAGCCGGCCUGAGAGGGUGUUCGGCCACACCGGGACUGAGACACGGCCCGGACUCCUACGGGAGGCAGCAGUGGG
rnacentral:rRNA from 1 species